AGAGUUUGAUCCUGGCUCAGGAUGAACGUUGGCGGCGUGCUUAACACAUGCAAGUCGAACGAAGCACUCUAUUUGAUUUUCUUCGGAAAUGAAGAUUUUGUGACUGAGUGGCGGACGGGUGAGUAACGCGUGGGUAACCUGCCUCAUACAGGGGGAUAACAGUUGGAAACGACUGCUAAUACCGCAUAAGCGCACAGGAUCGCAUGAUCCGGUGUGAAAAACUCCGGUGGUAUGAGAUGGACCCGCGUCUGAUUAGCCAGUUGGCAGGGUAACGGCCUACCAAAGCGACGAUCAGUAGCCGACCUGAGAGGGUGACCGGCCACAUUGGGACUGAGACACGGCCCAAACUCCUACGGGAGGCAGCAGUGGGGAAUAUUGCACAAUGGGGGAAACCCUGAUGCAGCGACGCCGCGUGAGCGAAGAAGUAUUUCGGUAUGUAAAGCUCUAUCAGCAGGGAAGAAGAAUGACGGUACCUGACUAAGAAGCACCGGCUAAAUACGUGCCAGCAGCCGCGGUAAUACGUAUGGUGCAAGCGUUAUCCGGAUUUACUGGGUGUAAAGGGAGCGCAGGCGGUGCGGCAAGUCUGAUGUGAAAGCCCGGGGCUCAACCCCGGUACUGCAUUGGAAACUGUCGUACUAGAGUGUCGGAGGGGUAAGUGGAAUUCCUAGUGUAGCGGUGAAAUGCGUAGAUAUUAGGAGGAACACCAGUGGCGAAGGCGGCUUACUGGACGAUAACUGACGCUGAGGCUCGAAAGCGUGGGGAGCAAACAGGAUUAGAUACCCUGGUAGUCCACGCCGUAAACGAAUAAAUACUAGGUGUCGGGGAACUUUGCUCUUCG
rnacentral:rRNA from 1 species